CCUACGGGGGGCAGCAGUGAGGAAUAUUGGUCAAUGGACGAGAGUCUGAACCAGCCAAGUAGCGUGAAGGAUGACUGCCCUAUGGGUUGUAAACUUCUUUUAUAUGGGAAUAAAACGUUCCACGUGUGGGAUUUUGUAUGUACCAUAUGAAUAAGGAUCGGCUAACUCCGUGCCAGCAGCCGCGGUAAUACGGAGGAUCCGAGCGUUAUCCGGAUUUAUUGGGUUUAAAGGGAGCGUAGGUGGAUUGUUAAGUCAGUUGUGAAAGUUUGCGGCUCAAACGUAAAAUUGCAGUUGAAACUGGCAGUCUUGAGUACAGUAGAGGUGGGCGGAAUGCGUGGUGUAGCGGUGAAAUGCUUAGAUAUCACGAAGAACUCCGAUUGCGAAGGCAGUUCACUGGACUGCAACUGACACUGAGGCUCGAAAGUGUGGGUAUCAAACAGGAUUAGAUACCCUUGUAGUC
rnacentral:rRNA from 1 species